CAAAUUAUAGCUUAUUCAUAAAGCUUUUUAGUUACAUUAAUAAGAAAACAGUUUUGUUUAGUUUGA
rnacentral:tRNA from 1 species